UACGAAGGGUGCAAGCGUUGUUCGGAUUUACUGGGCGUAAAGGGUUCGUAGGCGGGAGGAUAAGUUAAGUGUGAAAUCCCUGAGCUUAACUCAGGACGUGCAUUUAAGACUGUCUUUCUUGAGUAUCGGAGAGGGUUGUGGAAUUGCUGGUGUAGGAGUGAAAUCCGUAGAGAUCAGCAGGAACACCUGAGGCGAAGGCGGCAACCUGGCCGAAUACUGACGCUGAGGAACGAAAGCGUGGGGAGCAAACAGG
rnacentral:rRNA from 1 species